ensembl:lncRNA
UGAAGGUGUCUCUUGUUGGAGAUUCCUGUUUACCUGAUGUCUUCUGAAAGAGCAUGAAGAAAUCUCUGGUGAACAAAAACUACCUUGAAGAGUCUCUCCUCUGCCAAAUAGAAAGCAGUAAUACUUUGAUAUUGGAAAUGAACUUUCCUGACAAUGACCUUAAAGGACUCGGAGAACUGGGUUUUGUAAAAUCUGAAUUUUGGUCUGAAAGAAAAAGGCCAUGAAAGCAACUUUGAAAAUAUAAUUAUGACAUGUAGUAUUCACGCUUGGUAUGGAAUAUCUCCAGCAAUUUUCUUGAAGUUCAGCUGUAUGUCAGGUCUUCAAUUAAGAAAACAUAAGUCCAACAAGAUGAAUACAAUUAUAGCUGUGAAGCCUGCAGCUGGCUUUGUCUUUGAAGAACAUAUGUUCUGUCGGGAUAGCUCUACUUUUGGAUUCUCACAGAUGAUAGCAGAGGAGCAAAUGGCAUCUGACAUGGAAGUGCAGAUGAAGCCAAAUUGUGGCACAGAAUUCCUGCAUACAGAAAAAAUGGCACCCACUGGCAUUCAUCGAUGCUUGCUGAACAUUUAUGGAGACCAAACAGUGGAUGUGAACACAAUAAUGCGGUGGGUGGUGUGUUCAGCAGUGGCUGCAGUGACAGGAAGGACAAACCAUGUUCUGGACAGCCAUGCAGAUUUCUACAAACAUGGCAUUCAGACUCUUGUUCAUUGCUGGUUAAAAUGCAUAACUAAUAGUAGCAACUGUGUUGAAAAAUAGUAUUUUGUAGCUGAG